GGUUGUGUAGUGUAAUGGUUAUCACAUCGGAUUCUGAUUCAAACAUCAAUUCUUCCGGUAAUCUGAGUUCGAUUCUCAGCACGACCU